CCACGCUGCUCUAGCCAAAAAUAUCCACUCACGUUUCCCAUGACCGAAAUCCGCUAACUGACAUGUGUAUCCCCUUCCCCGUGAUAUCGCCACGGGCGGGUAGUUGAAACCACCCGCGCUCGGCGCGGGCCAGCUGGUCGGCCUGUGCUCCAGACCCCGCGCAACAACCCUCAUCGAUUUCACACCACCGAGAACAUCGCGCCGUGGGGAGAGAGAUCAGGGGGAGGGAGUUUUGCCGCCGCCGCGGGCUCAAUCACCCGCCGCCGAUGAAGCCUUCGUGACCAUCUAGAGUGCACUACAAGAAGUCUGGGAGGGUCGACGUUAGCGUGCUGUGAGUGAUUAUCGGCUGGAGUGCGCGGAAUUCGUCGCCAGGAUUAUCACCUCCGUCGCAGAUCCACCGUCCGUCGUGGAGCAACCUCUGGCUGCCUGAAUCAUCGGUGUGGAGAACAGGGACAGUAAUCGACGGCUGAGGUGAAGGUCAUGCGGUCUCGUGCUGAUGGACCGGGAGCGAUGAAGGACGAGUGUUGGAUCUUGGCUGACGAAUUGGAGUAGAUGGGUGACCAUCCAUGGUGGUUGACACCUGGGACAUGCACUCGCGUAAGGAUAUGGUGGAGUGGACCAUCCUGUUGGCGCGAUCGAGGACUGGCAGGACACAUGUCUGGUCAUGGAGGACGCACAUGUGGUGCUGUGAUACUCAUGACGGUUUGGUGGUUGAGCCUCAACACCAUCCUGCGUUACGGAUGUUGGGUUUUGCUAAGUUUGGGCCUCAAAACUCGAUGGCGGCGGUUCUGGAGGGAUCCGGUGGCGGCACGUGGCAUCACAGCUAAGGGUUUGUCAAGGCGAAGCAAGUUCGUGUGGAGCAUGUGGCCAUCAAAUCGAAAACCUAUGAGUUGGUCUAUUUCUCCCCUAGCGGAGUCAAUAGACUCCAUAUAAAUAGGGGUAGUUUACAAAAUACAAAUAACCCUCUAUAAAUAGAGGGACAGGCUUGUUAGUCAAGCAUCUUAUGGCUGCCAUUUCUUUAGGCUUCUUAUUUUAGUACUCCUAGUUUUCUGUCUCGGUAGUCACCAGUUUAACCAAGGGAUCCGCGUCAAUUUUGUAACCGUCGACUUGGUUUUUGUUCUUCAUGUAUAAUUCGAGGAAGGGUCGCCGGUACGACCCACAUGUUUUGUUCA